rnacentral:rRNA from 1 species
GGCUCACCUAGGCGACGAUCCCUAGCUGGUCUGAGAGGAUGACCAGCCACACUGGAACUGAGACACGGUCCAGACUCCUACGGGAGGCAGCAGUGGGGAAUAUUGCACAAUGGGCGCAAGCCUGAUGCAGCCAUGCCGCGUGUGUGAAGAAGGCCUUCGGGUUGUAAAGCACUUUCAGCGGGGAGGAAGGCGGUGAGGUUAAUAACCUCAUCGAUUGACGUUACCCGCAGAAGAAGCACCGGCUAACUCCGUGCCAGCAGCCGCGGUAAUACGGAGGGUGCAAGCGUUAAUCGGAAUUACUGGGCGUAAAGCGCACGCAGGCGGUCUGUCAAGUCGGAUGUGAAAUCCCCGGGCUCAACCUGGGAACUGCAUUCGAAACUGGCAGGCUAGAGUCUUGUAGAGGGGGGUAGAAUUCCAGGUGUAGCGGUGAAAUGCGUAGAGAUCUGGAGGAAUACCGGUGGCGAAGGCGGCCCCCUGGACAAAGACUGACGCUCAGGUGCGAAAGCGUGGGGAGCAAACAGGAUUAGAUACCCUGGUAGUCCACGCCGUAAACGAUGUCGAUUUGGAGGUUGUGCCCUUGAGGCGUGGCUUCCGGAGCUAACGCGUUAAAUCGACCGCCUGGGGAGUACGGCCGCAAGGUUAAAACUCAAAUGAAUUGACGGGGGCCCGCACAAGCGGUGGAGCAUGUGGUUUAAUUCGAUGCAACGCGAAGAACCUUACCUGGUCUUGACAUCCACAGAACUUUCCAGAGAUGGAUUGGUGCCUUCGGGAACUGUGAGACAGGUGCUGCAUGGCUGUCGUCAGCUCGUGUUGUGAAAUGUUGGGUUAAGUCCCGCAACGAGCGCAACCCUUAUCCUUUGUUGCCAGCGGUUAGGCCGGGAACUCAAAGGAGACUGCCAGUGAUAAACUGGAGGAAGGUGGGGAUGACGUCAAGUCAUCAUGGCCCUUACGACCAGGGCUACACACGUGCUACAAUGGCAUAUACAAAGAGAAGCGACCUCGCGAGAGCAAGCGGACCUCAUAAAGUAUGUCGUAGUCCGGAUUGGAGUCUGCAACUCGACUCCAUGAAGUCGGAAUCGCUAGUAAUCGUAGAUCAGAAUGCUACGGUGAAUACGUUCCCGGGCCUUGUACACACCGCCCGUCACACCAUGGGAGUGGGUUGCAAAAGAAGUAGGUAGCUUAACCUUCGGGAGGGCGCUUACCACUUUGUGAUUCAUGACUGGGGUGAAGUCGUAACAAGGUAACCGUAGGGGAACCUGCGGUUGGAUCACCUCCUUA